UGCCCAGUAACUCCUAUCCCUACCUCCCCGUGGUGCCGCCUGAGAUAUGAGUAACCUUAGGAAAGAUCGGGUAGCCAACCCCGGUUGGACCUUGGUCGUAUACUGACAGGGAAGG
rnacentral:ribozyme from 1 species